UGACUACUGUAGGGCAAAUGGAAGAAUCACAGUGUGGAGCAAAUCUGAGGUCAAAGCUGUCAGAGACUUGAAGAGGAGGUAAAGGAGGGGAGCUCAGUAAAUAUGUUGACAGUCCAGAAGAAAAUGUGUAGAUAAUAUCCAUUUGAGAUUGAGGCCUUGCCUUGACAAACCACUUCUUGUCUUGAAGACACACUCUUCAACCCAGCUUCUCACAGAAACCAAAAUCUCAGCUGAUGGCAGAAGGCUGGAACCAGAGUGAGAAGGUUGGUUGCAACAAAGGGUAAAAUGCUUCCUUAGGGGAUAACCCAAGGCAGCUAAAAUACCCAGACCCAUUGCUAUGGUAAUCUACCCGCAUAAUAAUUACAGGUUAUUUGCAUAUCUGGAUUCCCUUUCAUAGCCAGGGGAUGGUGUGAAGUCAGUGCUAAAGCAGCAGCACGUGGCUGUCAUGUGUCAUCUCUGCCCCAAGUGGUUCUGAAAUUGGUUUAAAGCUUGAGGAGCCUUCAUUCUUUUUGGGAUAGAGGAUAAGAAUCCUAACAGAACUCAUCCCCAGCCAUCACUAGUCAGAGAGCGAGCCUUCUGGCAGAGUAGGGUAGUGAAAGGCAUGGGCUCCAGCAGCAGUAACCUGAGUCAUGUCCGAGGUGACAGAGAAGAAAAUAAACCAGAAGGCCAGAAUCUGGGAGGACUGAGAACCGGCAUGGAGAAUAUAAUGGUGAGCAAAACUGACCAAGGCCCUACUCUCAUGGGAUUUAUAUAGUCUCAUGGAAUACAUGGAUACCAAUCAAAUAAUCACACAGCUGGUAGAAAUUAGAAGAACUGAAGGUUGUAAGAUUAUCCUGUGUAGUUAUUUCUGUGAGGAAGUCCAGGCUUUGCAACCUCUUUAAAGUCUUCUGAUUGUCCACCAGGAAAUGACCUCUGACCUGAGAUCUAAAAGAUGUUUGGCUCUACCAAAUGGAUGGAUUUUAUCAGUUGACACUACAGAGAUCAAACAAGUUCAGGUGGCUGGAGCCUAUGUCAGCACCUCAGAGCACAGAGAUGGAAACCAGCCCUGGACAGGACACCAUCCCAUCGCAGAGUGUAUUCACACACACUCCAAUACUCAUUCACAUGGGGACCAUUUAGAUGCACCCGUUCACCUGAUGUGCACAUCUUGGGAUGUAGGAGGAAACAGAAGUAGGAGUACCCAGAGAAAACCCAUGCAGACAUGGGGAGAACACGCAAACGCCACACAGACAGGGGCCCUGGCGCAGAGUCCAUUUUGUUUCUCAUCAACGGUGUAACAAUGUUGAACGAAACGACAUUCUCCGGGGACCUGCUGCAUUUUAAAACAAAUUCAUGAAUAGUUUGCAUUUGGAUGGAGCAGUUAAUAGAGGAGACCAUUUUCCCCCAAAGCCUUCUUUGAUAUUUUGCUCCUCAGUAGGAAGUAACGGCCACCCUUGAGACUCCCCAGCAUUUUCUCCCUAUUUUUCUUCUAGCACCUACUAUUUCCUGCCUGGAAUUAUAGGUCUUUUUGUAUAUCUCUCUUUCCUAUUGAACCCUAAGCUCCUUGAAGGCAGGCUCCAUGACUAACUCAUACAGCAUUCAAUAAAUGUUUAUUGAAUGAAGGAAGAAAUGUAUAAAGAUGGGUUACAAUGAUUGAAAUCCAAAUUUAGAUCAAGACAGAUCCAUACC